rnacentral:rRNA from 1 species
CCCUUAGAUGUUCGGGGCCGCACGCGCGCUACACUGAAGGAAUCAGCGUGGCUUUCUCCCUGACCCGAAAGGGUUGGGAAACCCGUUGAAUCUCCUUCGUGAUUGGGAUUGGGGCUUGAAAUUGUUCCCCAUGAACGAGGAAUUCCCAGUAAGCGCGAGUCAUAAGCUCGCGUUGAUUACGUCCCUGCCCUUUGUACACACCGCCCGUCGCUACUACCGAUUGAACGGUUUAGUGAGGGCCUCGGAUUGGUCUCGGCCCGCUCUUUACCGGGCGGCGCCGUUGGUCGAGAAGACGCUCGAACUUGAUCGUUUAGAGGAAGUAAAAGUCGUAACA